rnacentral:rRNA from 3 species
UGUUUGAUGUUCUAACGUGGACCCGUGAUCCGGGUUGCGGACAGUGUCUGGUGGGUAGUUUGACUGGGGCGGUCUCCUCCUAAAGAGUAACGGAGGAGCACGAAGGUUGGCUAAUCCUGGUCGGACAUCAGGAGGUUAGUGCAAUGGCAUAAGCCAGCUUGACUGCGAGCGUGACGGCGCGAGCAGGUGCGAAAGCAGGUCAUAGUGAUCCGGUGGUUCUGAAUGGAAGGGCCAUCGCUCAACGGAUAAAAGGUACUCCGGGGAUAACAGGCUGAUACCGCCCAAGAGUUCAUAUCGACGGCGGUGUUUGGCACCUCGAUGUCGGCUCAUCACAUCCUGGGGCUGAAGUAGGUCCCAAGGGUAUGGCUGUUCGCCAUUUAAAGUGGUACGCGAGCUGGGUUUAGAACGUCGUGAGACAGUUCGGUCCCUAUCUGCCGUGGGCGCUGGAGAACUGAGGGGGGCUGCUCCUAGUACGAGAGGACCGGAGUGGACGCAUCACUGGUGUUCGGGUUGUCAUGCCAAUGGCACUGCCCGGUAGCUAAAUGCGGAAGAGAUAAGUGCUGAAA